rnacentral:lncRNA from 1 species
CAUCAGGUAAAUUGUAUUCAUCAGAUCAUACGAUUACAGAAUUGAUGUUAAGGAAGUUAAGAAACUUAGUCAAAUUAUAUGAGCUAUUAGACAAUGCCUAGCAUCUGAUUCCAGUUCCUAACAUCUGGUAAAAAUAAGCAUCAAGAAUUUUUAAAAUGGCAUACAAUAGCUAGUAUCAAAGUAUAUGGUGCAUGGUCUUAAUGAAGUUAAAGAACUUACAGGAGGACUUGGAGAAUAUAUUGUGGAUCCUGGAGUGAAAUCAAUGCUCAAUUCUCUCAGUUCUACAUGAUUCUGAAGACCCAUGUUCUUCUGCAGAGACUUACAUUGUCUCACACAUGCUUUCAAAAUCUUUAUAAAAUUUCCAUAUUCAAUAUUUCUGUAAACAAAAUCAAUGAUGCUUGAUUAUGGUUGCCAAGAUAUUUGAAGGUUUUAUGAUGAUUUUCAUGAAAUGGGACGUUUCUGCCUAUUGUGGGAAUUGCAGUAUAGACCUACCAUCUCUGAGAAAAGUUGGACCACCUACCCCUGGUGGAAUGGUAUUGGCUUCGAAAGUCAAUAUUGGCUGGAAGUAUUUAAGCAGAAGUUACCCAAGAUACUACAGUGGAGCCAUGACAGAUGCAUUGGCUUCCUUAAAGCUUUGGGAGGAUCAUACCACGUGGAAGCAAUUUAUAGAUUCUAAAGAACUUUGCAAUUGGACAUCAUAUUCUGGAUUUACUGAAGUGAUCUCAGACCAGUACUACUCCACUGUGUAUAAAUCCUACACCUUGAAAUAACUUCAAGAAUCAACAAAUGGAAUCAUAUAAAAUUGAAAAACUUCUUUACAGC